rnacentral:rRNA from 1 species
GACGAACGCUGGCGGCGUGCCUAAUACAUGCAAGUAGAACGCUGAAGGAGGAGCUUGCUUCUCUGGAUGAGUUGCGCACGGGUGAGUAACGCGUAGGUAACCUGCCUGGUAGCGGGGGAUAACUAUUGGAAACGAUAGCUAAUACCGCAUAAGAGUAGAUGUUGCAUGACAUUUGCUUAAAAGGUGCAAUUGCAUCACUACCAGAUGGACCUGCGUUGUAUUAGCUAGUUGGUGAGGUAACGGCUCACCAAGGCAACGAUACAUAGCCGACCUGAGAGGGUGAUCGGCCACACUGGGACUGAGACACGGCCCAGACUCCUAUGGGAGGCAGCAGUAGGGAAUCUUCGGCAAUGGACGGAAGUCUGACCGAGCAACGCCGCGUGAGUGAAGAAGGUUUUCGGAUCGUAAAGCUCUGUUGUAAGAGAAGAACGAGUGUGAGAGUGGAAAGUUCACACUGAGAC